rnacentral:rRNA from 1 species
UACGGAGGAUGCGAGCGUUACCCGGAUUUAUUGGGUUUAAAGGGUGCGUAGGCGGACUGUAAAGUCAGCGGUAAAAUUGAGAGGCUCAACCUCUUCCCGCCGUUGAAACUGGUGGUCUUGAGUGGAUGAGAAGUACGCGGAAUGCGUGGUGUAGCGGUGAAAUGCAUAGAUAUCACGCAGAACUCCGAUUGCGAAGGCAGCGUACCGGCAUCCAACUGACGCUGAGGCACGAAAGCGUGGGGAUCAAACAGG